rnacentral:rRNA from 1 species
UACAGAGGGUGCGAGCGUUGUUCGGAAUUAUUGGGCGUAAAGGGCGCGUAGGCGGCGCCACAAGUCACCUGUGAAAACUCUGGGCUCAACCGUGGAGGGUCAUUGGAAACUGGGGGACUUGAGUGCAGGAGAGAAGGGUGGAAUUCCACGUGUAGCGGUGAAAUGCGUAGAGAUGUGGAGGAACACCAGUGGCGAAGGCGACUCUUUGGCCUGUAACUGACGCUGAGGCGCGAAAGCGUGGGGAGCAAACAGG